GCCCAGAUGGUUGUUAGCAUUUGCAGCAAUAAAGUAUUUUAAAUAAGGCUGGAGUGCUUACAGCUCACUGUGGUCUUCAACUGAUGGCCUCAAGCUAUCCUUCUGCCUCAGUCUCUGUGUAGCUGGUACUACAGCACUCAAGAACCAGCCAGACGCAAAAGCCAAAAUUGACAAAUGGGAUCUCAUUAAACUAAAGAGCUUCUGCACAGCAAAAGAAACUACCAUCAGAGUGAACAGGCAACCUACAGAAUGGGAGAAAAUUUUGCAAUCUACUCAUCUGACAAAAGGCUAAUAUCCAGAACCUACAAAGAACUCAAACAAAUUUACAAAGG
rnacentral:lncRNA from 1 species